GAUUAAUCAAGUAAUUGUGAAGAAUGGUUUAUUCAGUUCCGGUUAACGUGUUGCAAUUGGUGGCUCUGGUGGCAAAGGCCAAGGGAGAUUCUAGACACCAUAAAAUCUGGUGAAGACUUCAAAAUAGCAACAACUACAAAGAUGCCUGAGCAAGAAAUGGUGUAAAGCUUGUGUUUUGUUGGAUGGACUCAACCGUGGUUUGCCUAAGAUGGGUAUCGGAAGAGCGAGAGGAGGCGUAAAUGGUGAUCAUAAGAAGGAAACAGAGAAGCCUGCAUAUGCUGCAAAAUCUAUAGAGAGCUAUGAAACUCAUAUAAGUCAAGAUGAUUGACUAUAUAAAAAGUUUGAAAUACCCUUGUUG